rnacentral:rRNA from 1 species
GACGAACGCUGGCGGCGUGCUUAACACAUGCAAGUCGAACGAAGUGGCGAACGGGUGAGUAACGCGUAAUCAACCUGCCCUUCAGAGGGGGACAACAGUUGGAAACGACUGCUAAUACCGCAUACUGAUGGAGGGGAUUGUGUCUGAUUAGCUAGUUGGAGGGGUAACGGCCCACCAAGGCGAUGAUCAGUAGGCGGGCUGGGAGGGUGGACGGCCAAAUUGGGAAUGAGGAAAGGCCCAGAAUCCUACGGGAGGCAGCAGUUGGGAAUCUUCCGCAAUGGAGGAAAGUCUGACGGAGCAACGCCGCGGGAGUGAUGACGGCCUUCGGGUUGUAAAGCUCUGUUAAUCGGGACGCGGUACCGGAAGAGAAAGCCACGGCUAACUACGUGCCAGCAGCCGCGGUAAUUC